rnacentral:rRNA from 1 species
CCUACAGGAGGCUGCAGUGGGGAAUAUUGGACAAUGGGGGGAACCCUGAUCCAGCCAUGCCGCGUGUGUGAAGAAGGCCCUCGGGUUGUAAAGCACUUUCAGUGAGGAAGAACGCCUGGUGGUUAAUACCCAUCAGGAAAGACAUCACUCACAGAAGAAGCACCGGCUAACUCCGUGCCAGCAGCCGCGGUAAUACGGAGGGUGCGAGCGUUAAUCGGAAUUACUGGGCGUAAAGCGCGCGUAGGUGGCUUGAUAAGCCGGUUGUGAAAGCCCCGGGCUCAACCUGGGAACGGCAUCCGGAACUGUCAAGCUAGAGUGCAGGAGAGGAAGGUAGAAUUCCCGGUGUAGCGGUGAAAUGCGUAGAGAUCGGGAGGAAUACCAGUGGCGAAGGCGGCCUUCUGGACUGACACUGACACUGAGGUGCGAAAGCGUGGGUAGCAAACAGGAUUAGAUACCCUGGUAGUC